UAAUACUGGCACAUGCAUAAUGAGAGACUGACGAGUGAAUACAGACUCCAGCAAUAAAGAAGCCAGCCCCAAGUGCUAUGUAAAUAUUACAAAUCCUCACAGGGAGCUGACCUGGGGAAGACAGCUCUCUGAUGAUUAAACCCCAGUGACAAUACGACUGCAUUCCUACAUCUGUCACAAUACUACCUGCUGAUACAUAAUGAGCCACGCUAAAAGAACUUGCUCUUGCUGCUCUUCAGUGCAGCUAAAAUGUCUAUUUGUAGAAUGUAAUUAAUCUCUUCUUCAAAAUCAGGAACCUUAGUGUCCUUGGUAACAACAUGCCAGUGACUCAGAGAGCGUCUCUGGCUUUUCCUUCUGAUUUUGGAACGAGUUACUGAAAGUGACCCCAAAUUCUAGCGCUGCAAAGGAGCACAAGUGGAGAAGCCAACAGUAUCUGGAGGCACUCCGAGGGAGAGGAGGAGGUCAGGAGAGAGGCUGGCUCUGACCCUCACACCACGUAACAGCGCUGCGGAGCAGAGGCCAGGAUUUAUUGGUUUCCCCCCCUGUUGGUGGGGCUGUGAAGUCUCAAGUGUCUUGCUCUGGAGAAAGGAAAUUAAACCUGGAAUGGCUGGAUUGGAGGGAAAACCCCAUUUUUCCAUUACUUUCAAUAGCAUUUCCUUUCCCAGCUCCCCUGCGCUCUGCAGCCGGCACCGAGCACACCCCAGCCUCGGCACCUGCUGAAACCCUCACAAAACAACCCGUGACAGCAACAAACCCACGUCACCCAGCUGUCCUCCCACAGCCCGGGGAGGCCCAGGCUCUGGGCUCCAUGCUGGGCCAGGAAGGAGAUUUGCCUGUCUGAGGCUCAGCCCUGGGUCACAGAGCCAUUGGGGAUCCUGCUCCCGGCCACGGGGCUCUCACGUGCCCUGCAGCUUUCCCAUGGAUAUAAAUCCAUUAAUAAAAGAUCAGCGUGCACACAGCUCACUGAAGAUGAUAGCAUUAGAGGCACAUCAGCUUCUCCUAAGCACCAGUCUCGUGCUGGGUUUAUUUGGUCCAUUUGUGGCAGGGGAAGAGUUGCUUUCGGCGUUCAGAGAUGACUUGUGUCUGGGAGAAGUAGCAGGGUGAGUUAUAUUUUUGGCUCUAUUUAGCCACAAAAAUUUGGGUUUAGAAUAAAGAGAAAUAUUCCCGUUUGCUGCCAAACUGAGGCAGACGAUUUCUUGUGCAAGCCUUCGUUUGUUUGAGGACUCAGUGUCCUGCUGUAAAAAUA